UGAUCAUGGCUCAGAUUGAACGCUGGCGGCAGGCCUAACACAUGCAAGUCGAGCGGAUGAGGGGAGCUUGCUCCAUGAUUCAGCGGCGGACGGGUGAGUAAUGCCUAGGAAUCUGCCUGGUAGUGGGGGAUAACGUUUCGAAAGGAACGCUAAUACCGCAUACGUCCUGAGGGAGAAAGUGGGGGAUCUUCGGACCUCACGCUAUCAGAUGAGCCUAGGUCGGAUUAGCUAGUUGGUGGGGUAAAGGCCUACCAAGGCGACGAUCCGUAACUGGUCUGAGAGGAUGAUCAGUCACACUGGAACUGAGACACGGUCCAGACUCCUACGGGAGGCAGCAGUGGGGAAUAUUGGACAAUGGGCGAAAGCCUGAUCCAGCCAUGCCGCGUGUGUGAAGAAGGUCUUCGGAUUGUAAAGCACUUUAAGUUGGGAGGAAGGGCAGUAAGUUAAUACCUUGCUGUUUUGACGUUACCAACAGAAUAAGCACCGGCUAACUUCGUGCCAGCAGCCGCGGUAAUACGAAGGGUGCAAGCGUUAAUCGGAAUUACUGGGCGUAAAGCGCGCGUAGGUGGUUCAGCAAGUUGGAUGUGAAAUCCCCGGGCUCAACCUGGGAACUGCAUCCAAAACUACUGAGCUAGAGUACGGUAGAGGGUGGUGGAAUUUCCUGUGUAGCGGUGAAAUGCGUAGAUAUAGGAAGGAACACCAGUGGCGAAGCGACCACCUGGACUGAUACUGACACUGAGGUGCGAAAGCGUGGGGAGCAACCCGGAUUAGAUACCCUGGUAGUCCACGCCGUAAACGAUGUCGACUAGCCGUUGGGAUCCUUGAGAUCUUAGUGGCGCAGCUAACGCGAUAAGUUGACCGCCUGGGGAGUACGGCCGCAAGGUUAAACCUCAAAUGAAUUGACGGGGGCCCGCACAAGCGGUGGAGCAUGUGGUUUAAUUCGAAGCAACGCGAAGAACCUUACCUGGCCUUGACAUGCUGAGAACUUUCCAGAGAUGGAUUGGUGCCUUCGGGAACUCUGACACAGGUGCUGCAUGGCUGUCGUCAGCUCGUGUCGUGAGAUGUUGGGUUAAGUCCCGUAACGAGCGCAACCCUUGUCCUUAGUUACCA
rnacentral:rRNA from 1 species